UUUUUUUUUUUUUUUUUGCUUUCAAGUAUACAAUUUCAAAUAUACAAAUUUGCAUUGGCCAAAUAUUACAUAUUACAAUCCAUUUGGGUACUUGUUUAAAGACAAAAGAAUGUUUUUUUAAAUGAUAUUCUCAAAUAAAUGCUCUAUAAAGCUUAACGUUCUUCCAAGAUCAAACAUUUUUUUCUUUAAAAUCUUCAUUAUGACUUUCAUUAACAAAUCUUUUCAUCAGAUAGUACAAAGUAAACACCAUUUAAGCCUUGGAUCAAUGGUUACAAAUUCUAAGUAAAUUAGAGGACUUUUAUGGUACUGUAACAGCUUUAAAUGAAUAUUAGCAUUUCUACUUAUUUUGCUAUGGUGAAGUGAAUGGAAUCUUUUUUUGGCUGGAAGAUAUCAGAGUAGGUUCAAAGUCUAGUAUGUAAUUUUAAUGGUAAAGGCUAAAAAAAUCCUAAUAUGCACAAUCAAUUAAGAUAAUAAUUCCUUAGUGAUAACUGUGAGAGGAAAAUAAAAAUUUUAAGAAGUAUUUAUUGUAUUAUGAGUGUUAUGAAUUGCUAAUUUUACCCCCUCUCCCAUUUCAAAACAUCAGGCCAUCUACUAAUCCAUAAAUAUUGAUGUUUCACAUACUUCAUAGAGUAGCUUAAACAUACCAGCAUAAGAAAUAAUUAGUAUUACAUAGUAAUUUCCUUUGCCAUAGGAAUAAAUGUUGGACAAAGUCUGGAAACAUUUUAUUUUCCAAUUUGAAUUACAGUAAUUUUGCCACAGACCACAGCACUAGUGCAUGUGUUACUUUAGACAUGCUCUAAGAACAAAACAAAAAAAUUACUGCAAAAAUACAUGUCACCAAUGUGGAACACACUCAGAUUUGUAUAAAAGUACUGAACUAAUAUCCCAAAAAGAGGUAUAUGUAAACAGUACAUAAGGAAGAAAUAGUUUUAAUAUGAAACAGUCAUUUAAGUCACAUACAUCAUGAUAAGAAGCAGGACUUUCUUUUAUAAAAGAUAUUUUAACUAACAAGCAACAUCAUCUAUAUCACCUACAGAACAAGGAAAGUACAAGUAUUUAGAGUAAGUUUUAAUAUAAUUGCAAGUAAUGGAUUUUGACAAACUAUGACAAAGAUUAUCCAUUGAGUUUCAUUAAAAACUUUAAACUAAAUAUAGGCCUCUGAUGUAUUCAUGUCUGAGAUAGCCAUUUUUCAUUUCCCCUAGACUCUAUGUCCUGGGAGAUGUUAAUGCCAGCCCUAGUCUCCUUACUCCAGGAGUACCUCUAAACUUCCACCUCUGUACCAAGAGUUAGAAAAAUGCAGAUGCGACUUCUAUACUGUUCUACUGGAUAAACAGAAUAGGCAAAAGGGGCAAGUUACUAACAUUUGGAAGUGAGAAAACUCUGAGUUCAAAAGUUGAGGAAAGAAAACUGUGAAAAGUCCAAACAAUUAAAGGAAAUUGGGAAGUACUCUCAAGAUAGCAUCCAUCAAUUCAAUAAAAAGACUGCUUCCCACAAUGCCUGAAAUGUGGUCUUAUUGUUGGAAAUCUUAGAUAUUAGAUAAAAAUCUAUUCUGAAUAAGCAGCCUUAAAAAGGAAGUUUAAUCCCACUUUCUUCACUAUCUUCAUUUGCAUUUUGGUGGAAAACAUUUUUCCCUUAAACCUGGCCAGCCAUAACCACAGGAAAAAAAAAUGGGAGUUCUAAGUGGAGGAAAGAUGAAAUUUUGAAGCACAGAGCAUCCAUUAGGGGAAAAGGCAAGUUGGCUUGUAUUGUAUUCCGCCAGAGGGUUUAGGAUGGAAAGAGGGCAACUAGGAAACACUAACACCAAGAAACUUAACUCUCCUGAAUCACAUUAGGAAAAAGGAAAGACCUCUGUUUCUUUCUACCUCCUACAUUGACUGGUUCUCUAAAGAAAACUGAGCGCUGGUUUACUACUGGUUAACUACAUUAUGGUUUAAAUAAGCUUUUAUGAGCUUUCCUAACAAUCUAAUUAUUUUAUAUAACGUUCCAAACUACUAUUUACAAAUGAACUUUGGGAGCCUGGAUGCUCUUAAUUGAACUUUUUAAUUAAAAAAAACUAAAAUAGCACAAAUGUUCAUGCAUAUGAAACCUCUAUACACUGUAAGAAAAUGAAAUCCAAAAAUUCUUUAGAGCUCCCUUAAAAAAAUCAUUACUUACAUAUUUUUUCCUGUUAAAUACAAUUACUAUAGUAUGCUGGACAAUAAGUACUAGCAUUUUUAAUAUGUUCAAGACAAACAAGUUUGAAAGAAUACUAGAUAAGGACUCCUGAUACUUAUUUGGAUGAUUAAAGUCAGCAGAAUUCAUGGUGACCCACACUAUUGAGGUUUUUUCCUACCAGUAGGCAGAGUUGGAAGUCUUUAAAAAAAAUGAUUUCUUUAUAUUGUGCUAAUCUAUGAAGAAUAAACCCUACUACAGGAAAAUCUUGCUUUAUGUACAUAAUCUCCUAAUCUGGAUAACAAGAAUCCUAAUAGCAGUACUAUAAAAGUAUUUCACACCAAAGGAAAACACUGUUCACAAAACUAAUUCUAAACACUCUAUCUGAAUAAUUUUUCUUUUAUUCAGCUAAGCUGUUUCAGCAUUAGUGAGUCCAGUAGCAUCUAGAACAAAUGGACUAGGAAUUCUCUACUGAAUUGAAUAAAGCAAGUUCUGGGAAAGGAACUGACGAUUUAAAACUAUCAGCAACAACCUAGCUGUCAUGAGAAAGCCUCAUUGCUGAGAGUUAGUCAAGUUAAACUUAGACAAAACUUGAGAAUAUAAGAGAAACUUCACGAUUUCCUUCUUAGUUGUGUAUAUGUGCCUUUGUGUAUAUGUGUGCAUGUGAGAUGAGGCCUUUCAUGAAGGAAAAGGAUUACAUGAAAAAAGGUGCAGUGCUACUGGAAGAUUAUUCCACCUAUGUGUAUUUCUUUCCAUUACUUAAUAUUUUUAAAUGUUCAGGGCAACUCAUCACUUGUCCUAACAAAGCCAUACCAAUUUGUAUAAUAGCCUUCUUUGGGUCAAAUUGAACAUUCUUAUAGUUCCUCAAUUUUCCUAUCAAAAACCAUCUACGUAGUUUUUGACUUAGUGUCACAUAGAGACAAAUGUCG
rnacentral:lncRNA from 1 species